AAUCCAUUUGUUUCAGGAUUUCUAGAAAACUGUUUCGGUAUAAUAUCUAUAUCUCUUAUGUUAUAACUCCGAUUUUAAAUAUUUUAGUGUCAUUAGAAAGGGAAUUUGAUUUUCUAAAACUUUUAUGAAGAGAGUAUUCUCUGAUUUGGAAUAUUUCAGUAUCAAAACUUUGUAUUUCCGAUGUCUCCUGUGAUUCGUUACUCCAUAUUCCUUCUCAGAAAUAGUUUCAGUAAAACUAUCAUAACUCCCUCAGUUUUAAUCCAUUUUUAAUGAUCUAUAUAUCGUUGGAAAGAUAAUUGAAUUUCCUAUAAUUUUUAUGAAGGAAACUUUUACUGAAUUCGUGUAGUUAUUGGUCAAAAAUAGUAUUCUUUCUGCUGUACUGUAAGAGUGUGAAUUUUAAUGUUAGGGCCUUGACCCAUGUGUUAUUAUAGGUAGUAGUGACGAGAUAACAAGUUUAAGCAGCGGGAUUUGAGGUAUUAGACAGGGAAGUAUGUAUAGUGAGCAGGGUCAGUUCUGGUACGUAUACUGUGAGCGGCUACGGGCGGACAAACGAUCUAGAACGCCAGUGGUGCCUUAGUUUUAUUUUAAGCAGUUGAUAAAUCUAACACAGUGGAAAUGCAUUAUUUAAAAUUAUUUACUUACUGUAUCUUGUUUUACAAAUGAAGGAUCCUUCUCUGUUGCAUUUUGAUUUUUUUUAAAAUCCACUGUUGUAUUUAAAUUA